CCAUAGCUGCCUCUGGAUACUGGAAGCUCUCCAUUAGAGGUUCCUUUCUUCCCUGGCUCCCAGCUCCGUUAAUUGCCCUUGAACACACUCACUACAGGAAGGAGAUGCCUGCUGAGGACCUGGGAAAUGAGUAUCUCCCAAAUUAGCAAGUGCCCUGAGCACCAGAGCACACCUGGAAUGUGACCCUUGAAGAGUUCCUUUGAAACUCCCCAGUCCUUCUAGAUGGGGAGAGUCACAGCCUUUGUGACAGGAGUCCCCUAUGUUUCUCCUUUGCCAGCAAAGCAAUAAACUUUCCUUUUUCUCAAAA